rnacentral:rRNA from 1 species
CGCCGCUCACGAUUGGAAUCUAGACCGCUUAGAUUCCUACGGAGGCAGCAGUGGGAAUUGGGAACAAUGGAGACACCCUGAAUCAGUCCUUUCCGAGUUGAGUGAAGGAGGCUUGCGGGGAUGUAAAGCUCUUUCGGCAAGAAACGAAAAGGCUCUCUCUAACAUAGGGGUCAAUGACGGUACUGAAGAAGAAGCACCGGCUAACUACGUGCCAGCAGCCGCGGUAAUACGUAGGGUGCGAGCGUUAAUCGGAAUUACUGGGCGUAAAGCGUGCGCAGGCGGCUUUGUAAGACAGAUGUGAAAUCCCCGGGCUUAACCUGGGAACUGCGUUUGUGACUGCAAGGCUUGAGUGCGGCAGAGGGGGGUGGAAUUUCCACGUGUAGCAGUGAAAUGCGUAGAGAUGUGGAGGAACACCGAUGGCGAAGGCAGCCCCCUGGGUCGAUACUGACGCUCAUGCACGAAAGCGUGGGUAGCAAACAGGAUUAGAUACCCUGGUAGUCCACGCCCUAAACGAUGUCAACUAGGUGUUGGGUGGGUAAAACCAUUUAGUACCGUAGCUAACGCGUGAAGUUGACCGCCUGGGGAGUACGGCCGCAAGGUUAAAACUCAAAGGAAUUGACGGGGACCCGCACAAGCGGUGGAUGAUGUGGAUUAAUUCGAUGCAACGCGAAAAACCUUACCUACCC